rnacentral:rRNA from 1 species
ACGCACGCUGGCGGCGUGCUUAACCCCUGCCAGUCGAACGGAAAGGCCCUGCUUUUGUGGGGUGCUCGAGUGGCGAACGGGUGAGUAACACGUGAGUAACCUGCCCUUGACUUUGGGAUAACUUCAGGAGACUGGGGCUAAUACCGGAUAGGAGCUCCUGCUGCAUGGUGGGGGUUGGAAAGUUUCGGCGGUUGGGGAUGGACUCGCGGCUUAUCAGCUUGUUGGUGGGGUAGUGGCUUACCAAGGCUUUGACGGGUAGCCGGCCUGAGAGGGUGACCCGCCACAUUGGGACUGAGAUACGGCCCAGACUCCUACGGGAGGCAGCAGUGGGGAAUAUUGCACAAUGGGCGGAAGCCUGAUGCAGCAACGCCGCGUGCGGGAUGACGGCCUUCGGGUUGUAAACCGCUUUCGCCUGUGACGAAGCGUGAGUGACGGUAAUGGGUAAAGAAGCACCGGCUAACUACGUG